AUUUAAAAAUAACUUAGAUAGUAUAAAUUUUCUAUAAAAAUCUAAAUAUUUUGGCGACAUAUAUUUUAAUUAGAGGAACCUGUCCCUUAAUCGAUAACCCACGAUAUUAUUCACUUAUUUCAAAAAUUUAUAUACCGCCAUAAAAGAAUUUUUUUUAAAUUACAAUUCAUAAUAAUAUUCUAAAAAAAAUAGGUCAAGGUGUAAUUUAAAUUUAAGAGAGGAUGUGUUACAUUAAAAAUCAUUUAAGAAUAUUUAAAUUUAAAUUAAUUUUGAAAAAGGAUUUAAUAUUAAAUUUAUAAUUUAUUUUAUAUUGAAAUAAAUUAAAUAUGUGU
rnacentral:rRNA from 1 species